rnacentral:rRNA from 1 species
CAAUAGCGUAUAUUAAAGUUGUUGCAGUUAAAAAGCUCGUAGUUGAAUUUGUGGCAGCUCCUGUGGUCCGUUCUUCGGUACUUUCGGGGGUCGCCAUCCUUGGGUGGAUCCUGUGUGGCAUUAGGUUGUCGUGCAGGGGAUGCCCAUCAUUUACUGUGAAAAAAUUAGAGUGUUCAAAGCAGGCUUACGCCGUUGAAUAUAUUAGCAUGGGAUAAUAAGAUAGGAUCUUGGUACUAUUUUGUUGGUUUGUGCACCGAGAUAAUGAUUAAUAGGGACAGUUGUGGGUAUUCGUAUUCCAUUGUCAGAGGUGAAAUUCUUGGAUUUCUGGAAGACGAACGAAUGCGAAAGCAUUUACCAAGGAUGUUUUCAUUAA